rnacentral:rRNA from 1 species
UCUCUUGGCGCGUGCUUACAAUGCAGUCGAACGAUGAACCGCUUUCGGGCGGGGAUUAGUGGCGAACGGGUGAGUAACACGUGGGCAAUCUGCCCUGCACUCUGGGACAAGCCCUGGAAACGGGGUCUAAUACCGGAUAUGACUGUCCAUCGCAUGGUGGAUGGUGUAAAGCUCCGGCGGUGCAGGAUGAGCCCGCGGCCUAUCAGCUUGUUGGUGAGGUAGUGGCUCACCAAGGCGACGACGGGUAGCCGGCCUGAGAGGGCGACCGGCCACACUGGGACUGAGACACGGCCCAGACUCCUACGGGAGGCAGCAGUGGGGAAUAUUGCACAAUGGGCGAAAGCCUGAUGCAGCGACGCCGCGUGAGGGAUGACGGCCUUCGGGUUGUAAACCUCUUUCAGCAGGGAAGAAGCGAAAGUGACGGUACCUGCAGAAGAAGCGCCGGCUAACUACGUGCCAGCAGCCGCGGUAAUACGUAGGGCGCAAGCGUUGUCCGGAAUUAUUGGGCGUAAAGAGCUCGUAGGCGGCUUGUCACGUCGGUUGUGAAAGCCCGGGGCUUAACCCCGGGUCUGCAGUCGAUACGGGCAGGCUAGAGUUCGG